GAUGAACGCUAGCAGCAGGCUUAAUACAUGCAAGUCGAGGGGUAGCAAGAUUGUAGCAAUACAAUUGUUGACGACCGGCAAACGGGUGCGGAACACGUACACAACCUUCCUACAAGUGGGGAAUAGCCCAGAGAAAUUUGGAUUAAUACCCCGUAACAUAGCGAUGUGGCAUCACAUUGCUAUUAUAGCUUCGGCGCUUGUUGAUGGGUGUGCGGCUGAUUAGAUAGUUGGCGGGGUAACGGCCCACCAAGUCUACGAUCAGUAGCUGAUGUGAGAGCAUGAUCAGCCACACGGGCACUGAGACACGGGCCCGACUCCUACGGGAGGCAGCAGUAAGGAAUAUUGGACAAUGGACGCAAGUCUGAUCCAGCCAUGCCGCGUGAAGGAUUAAGGUCCUCUGGAUUGUAAACUUCUUUUGUAAGGGACGAAAAAAGGUCUUUCUAGAUCGUCUGACGGUACCUUAUGAAUAAGCACCGGCUAACUCCGUGCCAGCAGCAGCCGCCGUAA
rnacentral:rRNA from 1 species